UCGCCGCCGCUUGAGCUCGAGCGCCCAGGCAUCGCUCAAUCCCGUCGCCACUCCGGCUUCCCGAGCCCCCUAGGCUCCCUGUGCUUGUCCGCUUCCCGCACGAACGCCACCUGCCCUUAGUUGUCCCGCCCCCCUCGUUUUCUCUCCCGAAACGGCUGUUCCACCACCGGUUCCCAUUCAUGGCCGCCGCCUACCUUCUCCCCUCCACUAGCGCCACCUCAGCUCCCUCCUUCGCUCUAUAAAGGCGCCACCCGAGCCUCGGCUGCCCCUGCUGCCACCUCCAGGCCUCGCCUAUUCUUUCCCCGGCCUGCGCCCCUACCGACUUGAGCCGCUAGCGCCACCGCCACCCACAUCUCCUGCUCGCCUCUGUUGCCAGGGCUGCCUAGCGCCCUUCCCUGGACGGCCGCCGUCGCCGGCAAGCCGGCCAGCCAAGAAACGCCCGUGCGCCGGCAAAAGCAACCAGGGAAAUCAAAGGUUGAAGAUAAGGUGGCCAUUUUGCAAUAAGGUCCCUGAAGAAUCCUAUCUAACCCUGGGUUUUCAGCUUUUCGUGAGUUCUGUUCUCUGAGUCUUGAAGGAUCACUACUUGGAAGCUUUGAAGAGGAAGAGUUUCAAGAAAGCAAGAUCUGAAGAGGCAGUAAGAGUAACUUUACGUUGGAGAAAG